UACGGAGGGGGCGAGCGUUAUUCGGAAUUAUUGGGCGUAAAGAGCUUGUAGGCGGUUUGUCGCGUCUGCUGUGAAAUUUCGGGGCUCAACCCCGAACUUGCAGUGGGUACGGGCAGACUAGAGUGUGGUAGGGGAGACUGGAAUUCCUGGUGUAGCGGUGAAAUGCGCAGAUAUCAGGAGGAACACCGAUGGCGAAGGCAGGUCUCUGGGCCAUAACUGACGCUGAGAAGCGAAAGCAUGGGGAGCGAACAGG
rnacentral:rRNA from 1 species